rnacentral:rRNA from 1 species
AGUUUGAUCCUGGCUCAGAACGAACGCUGGCGGCAUGCCUAACACAUGCAAGUCGAACGAAGGCUUCGGCCUUAGUGGCGCACGGGUGCGUAACGCGUGGGAAUCUGCCCUUGGGUUCGGAAUAACAGCGGGAAACUGUUGCUAAUACCGGAUGAAGACGAAAGUCCAAAGAUUUAUCGCCUGAGGAUGAGCCCGCGUUGGAUUAGGUAGUUGGUGGGGUAAAGGCCUACCAAGCCGACGAUCCAUAGCUGGUCUGAGAGGAUGAUCAGCCACACUGGGACUGAGACACGGCCCAGACUCCUACGGGAGGCAGCAGUGGGGAAUAUUGGACAAUGGGCGAAAGCCUGAUCCAGCAAUGCCGCGUGAGUGAUGAAGGCCUUAGGGUUGUAAAGCUCUUUUACCCGGGAUGAUAAUGACAGUACCGGGAGAAUAAGCCCCGGCUAACUCCGUGCCAGCAGCCGCGGUAA